UUGAAUGAAUUUGGUGUGGUUGUCGCUGGCCUUCUUGGAGGCAUGUGCACACCUACCAUCCUCAUCUCUCCACCUGUGCACCUCUUGUAGAUUUGGAAUUGAUUAUCCGAGGCAACUCGGUCGUGAGGACUGCUAGCACUUAGCUGGCUUUCUUUGCAAUUCCAGGUCUAUGUUUUUCAUAUACCCCAUUGUAUGUAACAGAAUGUAUCAUUGGGCCUUGUGCCUAUAAACCUUAUA
rnacentral:misc_RNA from 1 species